rnacentral:rRNA from 1 species
UGGGGAAUUUUGGGCAAUGGGGGAAACCCUGAUCCAGCCAUCCCGCGUGUGCGAUGAAGGCCCUCGGGUUGUAAAGCACUUUUGGCAGGAAAGAAACGUCAUGGGUUAAUACCCCGUGAAACUGACGGUACCUGCAGAAUAAGCACCGGCUAACUACGUGCCAGCAGCCGCGGUAAUACGUAGGGUGCAAGCGUUAAUCGGAAUUACUGGGCGUAAAGCGUGCGCAGGCGGUUCGGAAAGAAAGAUGUGAAAUCCCAGAGCUCAACUUUGGAACUGCAUUUUUAACUACCGGGCUAGAGUGUGUCAGAGGGAGGUGGAAUUCCGCGUGUAGCAGUGAAAUGCGUAGAUAUGCGGAGGAACACCGAUGGCGAAGGCAGCCUCCUGGGAUAACACUGACGCUCAUGCACGAAAGCGUGGGGAGCAAACAGG